GGCUUUCUCAAUCCGUGAUGAGAUUUCGUCAGACACCAACCCAUUAGGACUGAUCAGACUUCCAAGAUAAGUGAGGUU
rfam:Schistosoma mansoni, Puerto Rico, WGS project CABG01000000 data, contig: 0122